rnacentral:rRNA from 1 species
CCUCCCUCUGGCGGCAUGCCUAACCCAUGCAAGUCGAACGAGACCUUCGGGUCUAGUGGCGCACGGGUGCGUAACGCGUGGGAACCUGCCCUUAGGUUCGGAAUAACUCCCCGAAAGGGGUGCUAAUACCGGAUAAUGUCUUCGGACCAAAGAUUUAUCGCCUUUGGAUGGGCCCGCGUUGGAUUAGCUAGUUGGUAGGGUAAAAGCCUACCAAGGCGACGAUCCAUAGCUGGUCUGAGAGGAUGAUCAGCCACACUGGGACUGAGACACGGCCCAGACUCCUACGGGAGGCAGCAGUGGGGAAUAUUGGACAAUGGGCGAAAGCCUGAUCCAGCAAUGCCGCGUGAGUGAUGAAGGCCUUAGGGUUGUAAAGCUCUUUUACCCGGGAUGAUAAUGACAGUACCGGGAGAAUAAGCUCCGGCUAACUCCGUG